GAUGAACGCUGGCGGCGUGCCUAAUACAUGCAAGUCGAGCGAACAGAGGAGGAGCUUGCCCCCCUGACGUUAGCGGCGGACGGGGGAGUAACACGUGGAUAACCUACCUAUAAGACUGGGAUAACUUCGGGAAACCGGAGCUAAUACCGGAUAAUAUAUUGAACCGCAUGGUUCAAUAGGGAAAGACGGUGUUGCUGUCACUUAUAGAUGGAUCAGCGCCGAAUUGGCUAGUUGGUAGGGUAAUGGCUUACCAAGGCAACGAUGCGUAGCCGACCUGGGAGGGUGAUCGGCCACACUGGAACGGAGACACGGUCCAGACUCCUACGGGAGGCAGCAGUAGGGAAUCUUCCGCAAUGGGCGAAAGCCUGACGGAGCAACGCCGCGUGAGUGAUGAAGGUCUUCGGAUCGUAAAACUCUGUUAUUAGGGAAGAACAAAUGUGUAAGUAACUAUGCACGUCUUGACGGUACCUAAUCAGAAAGCCACGGCUAACUACGUGCCAGCAGCCGCGGUAA
rnacentral:rRNA from 1 species